rnacentral:rRNA from 1 species
UACAGGGGGUGCAAACGUUGUUCGGAAUUACUGGGCGUAAAGGGCGCGUAGGCGGCCUUCUAAGUCGAACGUGAAAUCCCCGGGCUCAACCCGGGAACUGCGUCCGAUACUGGGAGGCUUGAAUCCGGGAGAGGGAUGUGGAAUUCCAGGUGUAGCGGUGAAAUGCGUAGAUAUCUGGAGGAACACCGGUGGCGAAGGCGGCAUCCUGGACCGGUAUUGACGCUGAGGCGCGAAAGCCAGGGGAGCAAACGGG